rnacentral:pre_miRNA from 1 species
UCACCUCUGCAGGCUGCCGGCCCCCACCCUGGGCUGGGGGAGUAUCUCUUCCAAAGGCUCACCCUCAAGCACCACUAGGAGC